rnacentral:rRNA from 1 species
UACGGGGGGGGCAAGCGUUGUUCGGAAUUACUGGGCGUAAAGGGCUCGUAGGUGGCCAACUAAGUCGGACGUGAGAUCCCUCGGCUUAACCGGGGAACUGCGUCCGAUACUGGAUGGCUUGAGUUUGGGAGAGGGGUGCGGAAUUCCAGGUGUAGCGGUGAAAUGCGUAGAUAUCUGGAGGAACACCGGUGGCGAAGGCGGCAUCCUGGACCAACACUGACACUGAGGAGCGAAAGCCAGGGGAGCAAACGGG